AUGCACGCUGGCGGCGUGCCUAAUCCAUGCAAGUCGAGCGAACAGACGAGGAGCUUGCUCCUCUGACGUUAGCGGCGGACGGGUGAGUAACACGUGGAUAACCUACCUAUAAGACUGGGAUAACUUCGGGAAACCGGAGCUAAUACCGGAUAAUAUAUUGAACCGCAUGGUUCAAUAGUGAAAGACGGUUUUGCUGUCACUUAUAGAUGGAUCCGCGCCGCAUUAGCUAGUUGGUAAGGUAACGGCUUACCAAGGCAACGAUGCGUAGCCGACCUGAGAGGGUGAUCGGCCACACUGGAACUGAGACACGGUCCAGACUCCUACGGGAGGCAGCAGUAGGGAAUCUUCCGCAAUGGGCGAAAGCCUGACGGAGCAACGCCGCGUGAGUGAUGAAGGUCUUCGGAUCGGAAAACUCUGUUAUUAGGGAAGAACAAAUGUGUAAGUAACUAUGCACGUCUUGACGGGACCUAAUCAGAAAGCCACGGCUAACUACG
rnacentral:rRNA from 1 species